AAAGGAUAACAAGGGGCCAGAGCAGAAGCAUUCACGUCGCGGCCCCUGUCAGAUUCUGGUGAAUCUGCGAAUUCUGCU
rnacentral:ribozyme from 8 species